rnacentral:rRNA from 1 species
CUAAGGAGUAAAAGAGCAAUCUGCUUUGGGAACGGCCUGCGGAGUAUCAGCUAGUUGGUAGGGUAAUGGCCUACCAAGGCAAUGACGCUUAGGGGACCUGAGAGGGUGACCCCCAACGAUGGGACUGAGACACGGCCCAUACACCUACGGGUGGCUGCAGUCAAGAACCUUCCGCAAUGGACGCAAGUCUGACGGAGCGACGCCGCGUGAUGGAUGAAGUCCCUCUGGGACGUAAACUUCUUUUCCCGGAGAAGAAG